rnacentral:pre_miRNA from 1 species
UAAGAGGCCUAGACAUCACCACAAACAAGUCACCAAAGAAGGAAGAGUGUCACAGAAUCCGGGUGAUCUUGUUUGUGGUGAUGUCUAGACCUUCCU